rnacentral:rRNA from 1 species
AGCGGCAACAGCUCAAAUUUGAAAUCUGGCCUUCGGGUCCGAGUUGUAAUUUGUAGAGGAUGCUUUUGGCGCGGUGCCUUCCGAGUUCCCUGGAAUGGGACGCCUUAGAGGGUGAGAGCCCCGUAUGGUUGGACACCAAGCCUCUGUAAAGCUCCUUCGACGAGUCGAGUAGUUUGGGAAUGCUGCUCUAAAUGGGAGGUAAAUUUCUUCUAAAGCUAAAUAUUGGCCAGAGACCGAUAGCGCACAAGUAGAGUGAUCGAAAGAUGAAAAGCACUUUGAAAAGAGGGUUAAAUAGCACGUGAAAUUGUUGAAAGGGAAGCGUUUGCGACCAGACCUUUUCGUAGCGGAUCAUCCGGUGUUCUCACCGGUGCACUUCGCUUCGUUUAGGCCAGCAUCGGUUUCUGUAGGGGGAUAAAAGCUUGGGGAACGUAGCUCCCUCGGGAGUGUUAUAGCCCCUCGCAUAAUACCCUUACGGGGACCGAGGACCGCGCUUUAUGCAAGGAUGCUGGCGUAAUGGUCGUCAACGAC